GAUGAACGCUGGCGGGGUGCCUAAUACAUGCAAGUCGAGCGAACGGACGAGAAGCUUGCUUUUCUGAUGUUAGCGGCGGACGGGUGAGUAACACGUGGAUAACCUACCUAUAAGACUGGGAUAACUUCGGGAAACCGGAGCUAAUACCGGAUAAUAUUUUGAACCGCAUGGUUCAAAAGUGAAAGACGGUCUUGCUGUCACUUAUAGAUGGAUCCGCGCUGCAUUAGCUAGUUGGUAAGGUAACGGCUUACCAAGGCAACGAUGCAUAGCCGACCUGAGAGGGUGAUCGGCCACACUGGAACUGAGACACGGUCCAGACUCCUACGGGAGGCAGCAGUAGGGAAUCUUCCGCAAUGGGCGAAAGCCUGACGGAGCAACGCCGCGUGAGUGAUGAAGGUCUUCGGAUCGUAAAACUCUGUUAUUAGGGAAGAACAUAUGUGUAAGUAACUGUGCACAUCUUGACGGUACCUAAUCAGAAAGCCACGGCUAACUACGUG
rnacentral:rRNA from 1 species